AUCCAGUUUAUCUAUAUUGAUAUUAUCACAAGACACUAAUAAAAUAUUGAAAUUAAAUUCUUCUUCUUCUUCAUCGCAUCUAUUUCGAGUCAGCUAUCCUCAUUCUAAAGGUUCACUUGAUCCGAACCCCAGCGCACAUAUACCGAUUGUCUUCUUAUCAUUCUCAAUCACAUCCAACCAACUCCUUUUCAGUCUUCUUCUCCACCUCUUUCUCU